AGUGAACGCUGGCGGUAGGCCUAACACAUGCAAGUCGAACGGCAGCACAGUAAGAGCUUGCUCUUACGGGUGGCGAGUGGCGGACGGGUGAGGAAUACAUCGGAAUCUACUUUUUCGUGGGGGAUAACGUGGGGAAACUUACGCUAAUACCGCAUACGACCUACGGGUGAAAGCAGGGGAUCUUCGGACCUUGCGCGAUUGAAUGAGCCGAUGUCGGAUUAGCUAGUUGGCGGGGUAAAGGCCCACCAAGGCGACGAUCCGUAGCUGGUCUGAGAGGAUGAUCAGCCACACUGGAACUGAGACACGGUCCAGACUCCUACGGGAGGCAACAGUGGGGAAUAUUGGACAAUGGGCGCAAGCCUGAUCCAGCCAUACCGCGUGGGUGAAGAAGGCCUUCGGGUUGUAAAGCCCUUUUGUUGGGAAAGAAAAGCAGCAGGUUAAUACCCCGCUGUUCUGACGGUACCCAAAGAAUAAGCACCGGCUAACUUCGUG
rnacentral:rRNA from 1 species